rfam:Dipodomys ordii contig_72324, whole genome shotgun sequence.
GGGAAGUUGGCUCAGUGGUAGAGUGCUUGACUCACAUGCAUGAGGCCCUAGGUUCGAUUCCUUGGCACCACA